UGGGAACUCAAACUCACAAGCCUUGAUACGUUCCAAGGAACCCAUCCCUGCGGCAUCUAACUAAGAUCGGCACCAAGUCUAAAGCUAAACCCUUAAGAUUUCUGUACCGGAGGGAGAAGGAGAAGAAUUCUUGGUCAAGAUGAACAAGAAGGAGGUGUUGAAGUUGGCUAAGGGUUUUAGGGGAAGGGCGAAGAAUUGUAUAAGGAUUGCAAGGGAGAGAGUGGAGAAAGCGCUUCAGUACUCUUACAGAGACCGCCGCAACAAGAAGCGGGAUAUGCGUUCCCUUUGGAUCCAGCGUAUCAACGCGGGCACUCGCUACCAUGGAGUGAAAUAUGGAAAUUUCAUGCACGGACUAACGAAGAAGAACAUUCAGUUGAACAGGAAAGUUCUAUCUGAAUUAUCUAUGCACGAGCCAUACAGCUUCAAAGCCUUGGUAGACAUAUCACGCAAUGCCUUUCCUGGAAACAAGACGGAGGACAGCAAAAAGAUUUGACAUUUGCUGAUGGGUUCUGACAAAUUUGAAGCAUGAAUUGCUGGGGAGGGAAGGGAUUACAUUUGGAAGACCGCCGUCACAUUCACAUAUACUGCAGGACCAUGUAAUUUUCUGUAGGAUGAAGCUUGUGGGUCAUGUCGCUUCCUUCCUGCAAAGCACACCGCAAAUGAUGGUAUUAUGCAGCAAUUGGCGGUCUUAAUAUUAUUUUCUGUUAGUAUGCGAGGUCAUGCUACACCUUUAGAAACUUGAGUUCUGAGGCUACAGCACGCACCAGCCCCACAAAAAGCUUUGAAUGCUUCAAACAAAAGUGAAAUCCACAUAUUUCUCAUGUCAAGGCUGCACACGCUACCAGGAUAUCAACACUUGAGGAUACGGCAAACAUGUUUCAUACAACGGCUAUCUUCCCAAUAAUGGAUUCAAGUCAUGCAAUGUAUUGCCCCACAACUUGUUCUGGAUUCCUAAAACUUGCCAAAGUAAAAUUCAAAAAGGUGGUGUAUUAAAUCAA